rnacentral:rRNA from 1 species
GUGUCAGCCGCCGCGGUAAUACGAAGGGUGCAAGCGUUACUCGGAAUUACUGGGCGUAAAGCGUGAGUAGGUGGUUUCUUAAGUCUGCUGUGAAAGCCCCGGGCUCAACCUGGGAAUUGCAGUGGAUACUGGGGAGCUAGAGUGCGGUAGAGGGUAGUGGAAUUCCCGGUGUAGCGGUGAAAUGCGUAGAGAUCGGGAGGAACACCAGUGGCGAAGGCGGCUACCUGGACCAGCACUGACACUGAGUCACGAAAGCGUGGGGAGCAAACAGGAUUAGAUACCCUGGUAGUCC